GCAUCAAUAGGGUAGUGGUAACCUGGGUCGUUGCCAUUAUACACACUAUUCUCAUUCAGCUGUUUCGACCCGCCGGGGGUUCAAUUCCCUCUUGAUGCA